AAUGCGAUAAUUAAUGUGAAUUGCAGAAUUCAGUGAAUCAUCGAGUCUUUGAACGCACAUUGCGCCCCCUGGUAUUCCGGGGGGCAUGCCUGUCCGAGCGUCAUUGCUGCCCUCAAGCACGGCUUGUGUGUUGGGCUUCCGUCCCUGGCAACGGGGACGGGCCCAAAAGGCAGUGGCGGCACCAUGUCUGGUCCUCGAGCGUAUGGGGCUUCGUCACCCGCUCCCGUAGGUCCAGCUGGCAGCUAGCCUCGCAACCAAUCUUUUUAACCAGGUUGACCUCGGAUCAGGUAGGGAUACCCGCUGAACUUAAGC
rnacentral:misc_RNA from 1 species